AUUGAACGCUGGCGGAAUGCUUUACACAUGCAAGUCGAACGGCAGCACGGGGGCAACCCUGGUGGCGAGUGGCGAACGGGUGAGUAAUACAUCGGAACGUGCCCAGUCGUGGGGGAUAACGUAGCGAAAGUUACGCUAAUACCGCAUACGAUCUAUGGGUGAAAGCGGGGGACCGUAAGGCCUCGCGCGAUUGGAGCGGCCCAUGUCAGAUUAGGUAGUUGGUGGGGUAAAGGCCCACCAAGCCGACGAUCUGUAGCUGGUCUGAGAGGACGACCAGCCACACUGGGACUGAGACACGGCCCAGACUCCUACGGGAGGCAGCAGUGGGGAAUUUUGGACAAUGGGCGCAAGCCUGAUCCGGCCAUUCCGCGUGCAGGACGAAGGCCUUCGGGUUGUAAACUGCUUUUGUACGGAACGAAAAGGUCCUGGUUAAUACCCGGGGCUCAUGACGGUACCGUAAGAAUAAGCACCGGCUAACUACGUGCCAGCAGCCGCGGUAA
rnacentral:rRNA from 1 species